rnacentral:piRNA from 1 species
GUCGAUUAUUUCAUCUUUUCUUCAGAGUUC